rfam:Angiostrongylus costaricensis strain Costa Rica genome assembly, scaffold: ACOC_scaffold0002348
UCCGUUGUGGUCUAGUGGUUAGGAUUUACGGCUCUCACCCGUAUGGCCCGGGUUCGAUUCCCGCCAACGGAA